AUUGAACGCUGGCGGCAGGCCUAACACAUGCAAGUCGAGCGGAUGAAGGGAGCUUGCUCCUGGAUUCAGCGGCGGACGGGUGAGUAAUGCCUAGGAAUCUGCCUGGUAGUGGGGGAUAACGUCCGGAAACGGGCGCUAAUACCGCAUACGUCCUGAGGGAGAAAGUGGGGGAUCUUCGGACCUCACGCUCUCAGAUGAGCCUAGGUCGGAUUAGCUAGUUGGUGGGGUGAAGGCCUACCAAGGCGACGAUCCGUAACUGGUCUGAGAGGAUGAUCAGUCACACUGGAACUGAGACACGGUCCAGACUCCUACGGGAGGCAGCAGUGGGGAAUAUUGGACAGUGGGCGAAAGCCUGAUCCAGCCAUGCCGCGUGUGUGAAGAAGGUCUUCGGAUUGUAAAGCACUUUAAGUUGGGAGGAAGGGCAGUAAGUUAAUACCUUGCUGUUUUGACGUUACCAACAGAAUAAGCACCGGCUAACUUCGUG
rnacentral:rRNA from 1 species